ACGUCCCCAGCACGCUCCUUCAUGGCUUACCCGUCUACAACUCACCUGACCACAGCUCGUCCGUACACAGCUCACACUACAAUAGUUCACCAGUCCACAGCUCACCCGACCACAUGUCACCCGACUACAACUCACCCAUCCACAGGUCACCAGCCCACAAGUCUCCCGUCCACAACUCACCUGACCACAGCUCGUCCGUACACAGCUCACGCUACAAUAGUUCACCAGUCCACAGCUCACCCGACCACAUGUCACCCGACUACAACUCACUCAUCCACAGGUCACCAGCCCACAACUCUCCCGUCCACAUGUUGCCCAUCAAAUCAAACAUUUUCCCGAAACAAGAUGCUUUGAUAGUCUCAAACUCCUCAGUGUCACGAGAGGUAAGAGGUCAGGCUUAGAGUAAAUGUUAAGACGCCCACAUGGGUACCAGCAAACAGCCUCACUGAGAGGUGGUUGUUCGGAACUUUUUGUCCUGCUAAGAAAUGAAAACGAUUACAUAAAUCUCAGGUUGUGUACAGAGACUUAUAAAACUCGAAAUAAAUGGCAAAAUGAAGAUCUAAACAAUUUAGUGUUAAAAACGGAUCUCAAUUUUUGCCUCUGGAAAAGCUUCUGAAAAAAGGAUUUGUGGGAGGCGGUGGUCCGGUUUGUUAUUUCCUACAAGAACAUGAAAAGGUUGGGACCAUAAAAUAAUCGCAAUCAGAACAGAAGAACAAAAAAGCCAAAAACAGACACAUUUGGAAAAAGGAUGUCUGGAAGAUUAUGAAGAAAAUCGAAAGUUUCCUUGUAUUAUUCAUGAAACUAGAACCAAAAACUUAACUGAAUAUUGAAACUACCAGAUCUCAAAAUCGGAAAAAAAACAGGACACAUUGAAACUAUGAGAUCUGGAAUUUUUAUGUAAAAAUUGAAACUUCCACUGACUCACAGAUUUGAAGAGUUUUAACAGAUGUAAAAAUCGAAAACUAACAGAUCUUGGAGGUUGGUGUCGGAACACAGAAAAACAAGUGUGGGUUUCGAAGUAACAAACCUCGCAUGUCGGGAAAAAAUGAUUGUGUGCUCUACUCGAGUGUGAGAUUCAGACGGUGCGUGAGAUGGAGGUUUGUGACGAAAAAUCAAGAAAGAAGAUUUAGAGGAUGAGGCCAAUGAUAGAGGAACUAGGGUUCUUAAUUUCCGUGGCACACAGUUUUUCUCUCUCUCUCAAAAAAGUGCGUGAUUCAAAAUGAGGAAAGAUGAGAAUUUAGGAUUUCGAACUUGGUAUAGGGUAGAGUUGGUAUGGUUGGGUUAGGCUAAUAAAAGUCUGGUUUGGUUUUCUUUAUUAUAAGGGCAUCAAUGUCUUUGACUAGUAAAUAAGAUUGUCUCAAGUACAAAGUAUGUUACGGUGAAAUACGAAACUCAAAAAGUGUCUAGGGAAGUAAAAAAUUCUUUUAUUUUUCAUGUUUAGCCGCUUUUUAUGUUUAGCUCUCUACUAAAGGAGUGAUAUUAUCUCCGUUAUCUUGUUUGUAUUUGGCAAAGCAGACAUGCAAAGGUCUGGAUUCCCACCAACUUUUAUGAUUAAAAUGAAUAAGAGUUGGUAGUCCUGCGAAGAAUAUGACUUUUCUUUAAACACUUAGUAACAUAAAUGGUAAGGCAUAAUUAUCAAACAUAUAAAAUGCACAGAAGAGGCAGUGUCCUAGAAUCAGAUUGAAACCCUUGUGUUAACUUUUAAAGGCGUAGGCAUUACAGAUUAAUUGGAACAUGUCCAAUUCACCGAGCUACAAUGUGAAAUUAAAUACUUGAAACUAAUUCAAAUCAAACCUUAUAAACCCAUAACUAAUUUUUUUAACAAAAAAAGAACAAAAAGCGUAAGGGAUGCUGAAGUCACAACUAAUUAACAUUGUUUUGAGGUGGCUCUACCCAAGCGAUGAGGCUAGACAAAUUGUUACCAUCAUCAGAGAAGACAGAGAGACCAAGAAAACUCUAAGCCUCGUCAGGUGAAGCAAUUCCUCGUACUAAUGUAUGGGGGCUUAAAGCCAAGUCAGAGACCUUCUCAACCGGUCAGAAGGUCUAUAUUCAGUCGUAGUCUCACUUUAUCAGAUGAACAUUUCAAAUAUGUAGAACUCUAUUCAAAAAUAUCUCAAAGACUCGGAUGAAAUUAUUUGUAGAAAAGAUUCUUUUUUUUUGUGCUACUAGAGAUAAGAUUCUAAAUAUUUAAAAUAUCUACUUAGUAAACUUGAAAAAAAAAUUGUGGAAUAUUUCAGUAAAAUCUGCUCCAACAAUAUUCAUAGAAGGAGAACCAUGUUGUCAAGUUAUUCAUGGCAUCUAUUUGACACUUGCUUUGUUUUUUCAAUAUCAUCUCCAGACUGUCCAUAUCUCAAAUGGACAAUUCACAAUGUCUUGUUGGCUAGCCGUUUAAUUAACAAGAGUAUAUAAAUUAAAAGAAUAAUAUUGCACAAGAGUUACAGGCUGUUUCGAUCUUAAAACAGUAAAACAGAAGAAAGACAAAAAGUGUUUGUUUAAUUAGAAACAUGGAUUGUAUGUGUUAAAAAAGAAAAAAAAACAUGGAUUUGAAGUGAGAAGGCCGGGCUUCACAAUGUAUUUGAAAUCUACUAUUUCUCUGAAUGUAUAUGUGUGAAAUCUCUAUAUGUGUAAUUAAUCGGGAAAAAUGUUAAACAAAUCCUCAGCUUUUUCAUUUGGACCAUUAUAAUCUCCAGCUUUCGGAAAAACCUGAGAAACAAUACACUUUUCUUUGAUUUAAAAAAAAAACAGCUAACUUUUCUUUGACUGGAUCAAAUUAGACCCGACGUUAAUUAGACUAACAGAACGUGUUAACCCUGUUAAUUUGUGUAGUUAGCCAAUACGACGACGUUUUAUCUUAAACUUCAAAAUAAGAUCUGAAACCCUAAUAUCAUUUUCCCCCAAAUCGAUUUGGGGAUUUUCUUAACACAUCAGCCCUAAAAAUCGCGAUUUACAACUCAAAAUCCUCCAAUCCCACACGAUUGACUUCCCUUAGCACGAAGAUGAGUUCGGAUUCGACAGCUGAGAGUUCAACCGUGAACACAUACGAUAUUCGCGGGUUUCCGGCGAGAUGUGUUUGCGGGACUAAGACAACAAUCUACACGUCGGAGACUAACAAGAAUCCGGGGAGACCUUUCUUCAGAUGUCUUACGAGAAGAAAGGUAGCUUAUUAUAUUCUUGAUUAUAUUGUUGUCGUUUAUUCAAAUUGAAUAUGAAGCAAUAUGCCUAAAAUCUUAUGGUUUUUGCAUAGAACCACUUGUUUAAAUGGGUUGAGGAUGGUGUUUAUGAAGAGGUUCAAGAUGCCUUACCAAAGAUUAUACUGCUUGAAGCUGAGUUUAACAAAGAAAAAUAUGAUAUUGAGGAUUUGAAAGGCGUGGUCACUGAGUUGAUGGAAGAGGUUGUAAGAACCAAAACAGAGGUGAAGAGGUGUAAGGUGAUGAUGACGAUCUUGUUUGUGAUCAUGUGCGUGAUCAUCAUUGUCCUAGUAGUUAGUUUGAUGUAGAAUUAAGUUAGUUCUUUGCUUGAGGCGAAGAACUAAAUUGUUGGUGUUUGUUCUUGUUGUAUUUACUUGAUUAAGUGACCAUUUUAAUGUUUGGUCUUGACUAUGUUUGGGGCUUAAUUCAGUGACCAUUAUGUUGGUGUCAGUGACUAUGUUGUUGUUUGAAGUAAUGACCUAAGUUGGUGUUGUUGUUCAUCAUCAGGGUGUCUUCGUUGUCUGGGGCUUCAUCAGCUUCGUCGUCACCGACAAAACCACAGUCAUCCUCGCUGAUUUCCCCUUCUUCUUCCAUGUCGUAUGUUUUGCUCUUUUUCUUCUUACAUACAUCAGCUUCGUCGGUGACGACUCCACCUUUUCUUUUCGCUACAGAACUGGCACCACCGAGGUUCCCUUGUCGAGACUUCUUGUUCUUUUCAUUACCCAUCUCUUCUCUCUUGUUCGUGUUUGAUUCGAGAUUUUUGGUGGUGGUUCGUGAAUUAGGGUUCCUAAUUGAGAAAACCCCCAAAUCGAUUUUGGGAGAUAAUAAGAAGAUGUGUUUUUCUAAUUGAGCAGAAUAUGGCUUUGUUUUGAUUAACGUCGAAAAUUAACUGCGUUUAGACGUUAUGUUAAUGUAAUUAACGCGGGUUUACAUUGACUCAUUCAACAAAAAGUUUGAGGUUUUCAUGGUUAGUUAGGAACCUGAGGAUUAUAAUGGUCCAAUUCAGAAAGCUGAGGAUUUGUUUGAUAUUUUUCCCGUAAUUAAUCCCAUCAAUCUUUUUCCCAAGUCAACUCCAGCCUAAUUAUUUAAGUUUCGGUUUGGUCCAGUUCCGGUUGAGUUUGAGAAAUUUUGGACUUACCAAAUUGCUUGAUCAAGUCAUCUUUAGACCGAUCUCGUUCGCAAGCAUGCAUAUAUCAGUAAUGGCAUGAGAAUGAGAUGGUCCCCUCCUUGUCAGAACUCUUUCGCGUUUGGUUUACGAAAACAAUGCCUUUAAGACAUUAUUAAUUAAUUUGACAAAGAUGAUUAGGAGGCUCCCCCAUGUUCACGGCUUCAUUCCCUGGCAUUUAUGCCUAGUUUUUCUUGAACAUUGACUGUUCAUAAUUCGUAUGCUUAUGGUAAGUAAAAUUAUUACAAUUCUUUGGUUCUCUGUGCCAUAAAAUUUCAAAGUUGCAACUCUCGAAUUCACAACUGAUAAUAUAAACAGUUUAACUUGUAGGGUCUAGUUGAUUUAAAUGCAAAGGGUACAAAUGCAGAUCCAUAAGUAAAAAUCUUUGGAAGUAAACACUUUUACGGUUUCAAGUGUUAUUAACUUAUUAUAAAUAUUUAUAAAAAAAUACUAUAGAGCAUACACAUUCUUGUUAUUUUCAAAUCCACAUUGUCUAGUUGAAUCUAUUGCGAACAUAGGGAAUGGUUGAUAUUAGUUAUAUUAAUUAACUUGGUAUGAAUCUUUGACCCAUAUUAAAAAACAAACUUGAUAUGAAUGAUAUGAUGUACUUUGAACAGGAGAAGCUAAGUUUUUGAUUGUUUUCUUUCCAAAAAUAUCUUAGGCCAAUAAAAAGGAAUAUUAAAAACAUUCAAGCAAAAGAAUCACUAAUUAAGAACUGUCACGGGGCAGCAUAAUUCUCGGUAGGGAAUCUGGUUCUGUCUUCUAAUGAAAUUAGUCUGAGAUAGAGCAUAUGAUUAGCUCUGUAAAUACGGAUAUUAAUAAGCUAAAUUACUGAUUAUUUAUGAUAAUAAUUACUCCAAAAAUUUAAAAGAAAAUCAAACACUAGUUAGGCCGCGCCUAUGGAGCGCAACCAUUUGGUCUGAAUAAAAGUAGAAGCCAACCAAUAAAAGAAAAGAUUAAUAAAUAAAAGUUUGAAAUAAGAAAAGACGAAGCCACAUGCCUCGGACCAAAGUUACCGUUAAGUCUUCGUGCCAGACUUGGAAGUAAAUCGUUUUAUUCUCAUAAUCCAACGGUCAUAUCUGAUCCUAGCCGUCCAUUUAAAAAAUAAAAUAAAAAUUACACUUAUUUCUAUUUUGAUUUAUAUUCGUCAAUUCAUAGUCACUUGCCUAUAUCAACCCCUUGGUCAGAUUCGACUGUAUCAGAGUAUAAAGAUUCUCUUUCGCUUAAUGCUCUUCCUCUAGUCUCUCUGGUGGGUUUUCUCUCGGAAGAAUCAAAACGAACAAAAAUGGUUAAUUCCUGUGAGAACAACAUCGUUGUUGAAGCCACUACAACGUCGAUUCUCCAAGGUAAUAGAAUUUUUCUAGAGUUAUAGUCAUAUAGAUGGAGAGUUUUGACAUAUGUUGUGUUUUAGAUGAAACGACAAGUAGAAAGUUCGGACAAGAGAUGAAGAGAGAGAAGAGAAGAGUUCUAGGUGUGAUUAAUCAGAAUGUGGUUGGUGCAAGAGGUGUUGUCAACAAGAGAGGCAACUUAUCUAAGUAAAAUUCAACAUUAAACUCUCUCAAGUUAGUAUAUGUAAAGAUUGAAUCUUGUAAUCUCAAUCUGCAUUUUGUUUUGAUUUGAUUCAUCUUGCAGAUCUAGAGUUGAAGAGCCCUUGUAUCAUCAGGAGGAUGCGAAGAAGCUGAAGACAUCAGUUCCAAGUGAAAACUAUUUCGGCGACUCUAUAUUCAUUGAUGACGAAGAAGAAGAAGAAGAAGCUACAUUGGACCAUACAAUGCCAAUGUCUCUGGAGAAGCCAUACACUGAAGCUGAUCCAAUGGUAAACAUAAUUAAUCCAGCUUGAUAAAAAAUCUUAGCUAUAAAAUCAUUUCGAAUAAUUAAAGAUUGAAUGUGACAGGAGGAAGUUGAGAUGGAGGAUGUAAUAGUGGAAGAAGAACCAAUCUUGGAUAUAGAUUUAUCUGAUGCCAAGAACUCACUUGCAGCUGUUGAGUAUGUCCAAGAUCUAUACUCAUUUUACCGCACAAUGGAGGUGAAAAAGUUUGUUUACUUUUUUUUUUACGUGUCUUUGAAUCAACCAGAGGCUUGAGUUUGCCUUAAAAAACAAUUAUUGUUUUGAAUCUGCAGAGGUUUAGCUGUGUUCCAGUAGAUUAUAUGAUGCAACAAAUGGACUUAAACGAGAAGAUGAGAGCAAUACUAAUCGACUGGUUAAUCGAGGUAUUAUUGCAUUUUUUUAGAAUGAUGUUACUGUAUAAAUGAGAGAGACUAAAGAAGCUAAAAUGAAUGUCCACUAGGUGCAUGACAAGUUUGAUUUGAUGAAGGAGACAUUGUUUCUGACGGUGAAUCUGAUAGAUAGAUUCUUGUCCAAGAAAGCUGUUAUGAGAAAGAAGCUUCAGCUGGUAGGGUUAGUGGCUUUGCUCUUAGCUUGCAAGUACGAAGAGGUUUCGGUUCCUGUUGUUGAAGAUUUGGUACUUAUUUCAGACAAGGCUUAUACGAGGAACGAUGUUCUAGACAUGGUAAAGUGCUGUUUCUCUUUGUUUCUACGUAUAGAAGAAUUCAAAUCUUGUCUCAUUCUCUGAUUAAAUGGUUACCAUUGUCUUUGCAGGAGAAAACAAUGUUGAGCACGUUGCAAUUUAAUGUCUCGUUGCCUACGCAAUACCCGUUUCUGAAAAGAUUCCUUAAGGCAGCUCAAGCAGACAAGAAGGUAAGUUAAAAACAAAUGGAUCAUGUUUUAUUUUUAAAAAAAAAUCUAGAAACGAACUAAAUGGUGAAACUGAAACAAAACAGUGUGAGAUGUUGGCAUCGUUCUUGAUCGAGCUUGCUCUUGUGGAGUACGAGAUGCUUCAGUUUCAACCGUCAUUACUAGCUGCAACAGCUACCACAUGUCACCCGACUACAACUCACCCAUCCACAGGUCACCAGCCCACAAGUCUCCCGUCCACAACUCACCUGACCACAGCUCGUCCGUACACAGCUCACGCUACAAUAGUUCACCAGUCCACAGCUCACCCGACCACAUGUCACCCGACUACAACUCACUCAUCCACAGGUCACCAGCCCACAACUCUCCCGUCCACAUGUUGCCCAUCAAAUCAAACAUUUUCCCGAAACAAGAUGCUUUGAUAGUCUCAAACUCCUCAGUGUCACGAGAGGUAAGAGGUCAGGCUUAGAGUAAAUGUUAAGACGCCCACAUGGGUACCAGCAAACAGCCUCACUGAGAGGUGGUUGUUCGGAACUUUUUGUCCUGCUAAGAAAUGAAAACGAUUACAUAAAUCUCAGGUUGUGUACAGAGACUUAUAAAACUCGAAAUAAAUGGCAAAAUGAAGAUCUAAACAAUUUAGUGUUAAAAACGGAUCUCAAUUUUUGCCUCUGGAAAAGCUUCUGAAAAAAGGAUUUGUGGGAGGCGGUGGUCCGGUUUGUUAUUUCCUACAAGAACAUGAAAAGGUUGGGACCAUAAAAUAAUCGCAAUCAGAACAGAAGAACAAAAAAGCCAAAAACAGACACAUUUGGAAAAAGGAUGUCUGGAAGAUUAUGAAGAAAAUCGAAAGUUUCCUUGUAUUAUUCAUGAAACUAGAACCAAAAACUUAACUGAAUAUUGAAACUACCAGAUCUCAAAAUCGGAAAAAAAACAGGACACAUUGAAACUAUGAGAUCUGGAAUUUUUAUGUAAAAAUUGAAACUUCCACUGACUCACAGAUUUGAAGAGUUUUAACAGAUGUAAAAAUCGAAAACUAACAGAUCUUGGAGGUUGGUGUCGGAACACAGAAAAACAAGUGUGGGUUUC
rnacentral:lncRNA from 1 species